AUUGAACGCUGGCGGCAGGCCUAACACAUGCAAGUCGAACGAGUGGCGGACGGGUGCGUAAUGUCUGGGAAACUGCCUGAUGGAGGGGGAUAACUACUGGAAACGGUAGAUAAUACCGCAUACCAUCAGAUGUGCCCUGAUGGGAUUAGCUAGUUGGGGGGGUAACGGCUCACCAAGGCGACGAUCCCGAGCUGGUCUGAGGGGAUGACCAGCAACACUGGAACGGAGACACGGUCCAGACUCCUACGUGAGGCAGCAGUGGGGAAUAUUGCACAAUGGGCGAAAGCCUGAUGCAGCCAUGCCGCGUGUAUGAAGAAGGCCUUCGGGGUGUAAAGUACUUUCAGCGGGGAGGCGUUACCCACAGAAGAAGCACCGGCUAACUCCGUGCCAGCAGCCGCGGUAAUAC
rnacentral:rRNA from 1 species